rnacentral:rRNA from 1 species
AACCAGCACCUCAAGUGGUCAGGAUGAUUAUUGGGCCUAAAGCAUCCGUAGCCGGCUCUGUAAGUUUUCGGUUAAAUCUGUACGCUCAACGUACAGGCUGCCGGGAAUACUGCAGAGCUAGGGAGUGGGAGAGGUAGACGGUACUCGGUAGGAAGGGGUAAAAUCCUUUGAUCUAUUGAUGACCACCUGUGGCGAAGGCGGUCUACUGGACAAGUAAUGACGCUGAGGGACGAAAGCGUGGGUAGCAAACAGG